rnacentral:rRNA from 1 species
GACGAACGCUGGCGGCGUGCCUAAUACAUGCAAGUCGAGCGAAGUUUUUCUGGUGCUUGCACUAGAAAAACUUAGCGGCGAACGGGUGAGUAACACGUAAAGAACCUGCCUCAUAGACUGGGACAACUAUUGGAAACGAUAGCUAAUACCGGAUAACAGUAUUUCUCGCAUGAGAGAUAUUUAAAAGUUGGUUAUGCUAACACUAUGAGAUGGCUUUGCGGUGCAUUAGCUAGUUGGUGGGGUAAAGGCCUACCAAGGCGACGAUGCAUAACCGACCUGAGAGGGUGAUCGGCCACACUGGGACUGAGACACGGCCCAGACUCCUACGGGAGGCAGCAGUAGGGAAUCUUCCGCAAUGGGCGAAAGCCUGACGGAGCAACGCCGCGUGAGUGAAGAAGGAUUUCGGUUCGUAAAGCUCUGUUGUUAGGGAAGAAUGGAUAUGUAGUAACUAUACAUAUAAGAGACGGUACCUAACCAGAAAGCCACGGCUAA